GGGCCGGUAGUUCAAUCUGGUAGAACGCCGCCCUUGCAAGGCGGAGGCUUCGGGUUCAAAUCCCGACCGGUCCA
rnacentral:tRNA from 1 species